AUAGUAUUGACGUCCUCCCGGCAUGAAUGACGUAGUCGUCGUGGCCGCGCAGGCGCUGUCGGUCGCUGGUGCCGUGAGGAUGGCGGCCGUGGUGUUGAGCGAUGCGGAGCGUGUCUAUGUGAUGUACGGGGUGCAGGAUGAUCUGCGAAUUGAUGGACGUGGUUGUGAAGAUUACAGGCAUAUGGAAGUGGAAACAGAUGUUGUGUCGAACACAAGUGGGUCAGCCAGAAUGAAAAUUGGUCACACAGAUAUUCUUGUUGGCAUAAAAGCAGAAAUGGGCAUGCCGAAACUGGAGAGGCCAAAUGAAGGAUUCUUGGAAUUUUUUGUAGACUGUUCUGCCAAUGCAACUCCGAAAUUUGAAGGUCGUGGAGGGGAAGAUCUUGGCACAGAUAUUGCCAACACCCUGUACCGAGUGUUUGACAACGGCAGUAGUCUGGAUUUGAAGACGCUGUGCAUCACUCCCAGACAGCAUUGCUGGAUCCUUUAUGUAGAUGUCUUGCUACUAGAGUGUGGUGGAAAUCUUUUUGAUGCAAUUUCCAUUGCAGUUAAAGCAGCACUUCAUAAUACAAGAAUUCCAAAGGUCAGGGUGCUGGAGAAUGACGAAGGUUCCAAGGAAAUCGAGUUGUUGGAUGAUCCAUAUGAUUGUAUUCGCCUUAAUGUGGAAAAUGUGCCUUGCAUCAUCACUUUAAGCAAAAUUGGUCACAGACAUGUGGUAGAUGCCACAUCACAGGAGGAAACGUGCUGUAUGGCUAGCUUGUUGGUGUCUGUCACCAACAAAGGAACCCUCACCUGCUUCAGGAAAAUCGGAGGAGGCAGCUUGGAUCCAGCAAGUGUGUUUGAAAUGAUGGAGCUGCAUCAACCAAGAAUAGAGCAUAAAUAUAGCAAUACGAAACCAGAAACAAUCAAACAACAAUAUGCAAACUAUGCCAGAUGGAAGUAAGUCCAGGAGCAGCCCAAUGGCUCAUGGUGAUGUUUAAUCCCCAAUGAGAGCAAAAGGAUUUGUUUCCAAAUAUGCUCAGACCGGAAAGCGAGUUGGAAAAGCUUUGCAUAAAUCAUUAGAGACUACCUUGGCAAAAGAAGAAAGUUUGGGAAAGAAGCGACAAAAAGUUGGUUUUCUUGGUUAACCUUUUC